GGGGGUUUCCGCCCCUUAGUGCUGCAGCUAACGCAUUAAGCACUCCGCCUGGGGAGUACGGUCGCAAGACUGAAACUCAAAGGAAUUGACGGGGGCCCGCACAAGCGGUGGAGCAUGUGGUUUAAUUCGAAGCAACGCGAAGAACCUUACCAGGUCUUGACAUCCUGUUGACCACUGUAGAGAUAUGGUUUCCCUUCGGGGGCAACGGUGACAGGUGGUGCAUGGUUGUCGUCAGCUCGUGUCGUGAGAUGUUGGGUUAAGUCCCGCAACGAGCGCAACCCUUGAUCUUAGUUGCCAUCAUUUAGUUGGGCACUCUAAGGUGACUGCCGGUGACAAACCGGAGGAAGGUGGGGAUGACGUCAAAUCAUCAUGCCCC
rnacentral:rRNA from 1 species